GAUGAAGAACGCAGCGAAAUGCGAUAAGUAGUGUGAAUUGCAGAAUUCAGUGAAUCAUCGAAUCUUUGAACGCACAUUGCGCCCCUUGGUAUCCCGAGGGGCAUGCCUGUUCGAGCGUCAUUUCACCACUCAAGCCUGGCUUGGUGUUGGGCGACGUCCCCUUUGGGGACGCGCCUCGAAACGCUCGGCGGCGUGGCACCGGCUUUAAGCGUAGCAGAAUCUUUCGCUUUGGAAGUCGGGGCCCCGUCUGCCGGAAGACCUGCUCGCAAGGUUGACCUCGGAUCAGGCAGGGAUACACGCUGAACUUAAGCAUAUCAAUAAGCGGAGGA
rnacentral:misc_RNA from 1 species